rnacentral:rRNA from 1 species
GGCCUAACACAUGCAAGUCGAACGGACGUAGCAAUACGUUAGUGGCGCACGGGUGAGUAACACGUGGGAACCUAUCCUUCGGUUCGGAAAAACGGAGGGAAACUUCCGCUAAUACCGUAUACGCCCCUUGGGGGAAAGAUUUAUCGCCGAUUGAGGGGCCCGCGUCUGAUUAGCUAGUUGGUAAGGUAACGGCUUACCAAGGCUACGAUCUGUAGCUGGUCUGAGAGGAUGAUCAGCCACACUGGAACUGAGACACGGUCCAGACUCCUACGGGAGGCAGCAGUGAGGAAUAUUGGGCAAUGCCCGUAAGGGUGACCCAGCAACGCCGCGUGGAGGAUGAAAGCCGUAAGGUUGUAAACUCC